rnacentral:rRNA from 1 species
UACGUAGGGUGCAAGCGUUAAUCGGAAUUACUGGGCGUAAGGCGUGCGCAGGCGGCUUUGCAAGUCAGAUGUGAAAUCCCCGGGCUUAACCUGGGAACUGCAUUUGUGACUGCAAGGCUAGAGUACGGUAGAGGGGGAUGGAAUUCCGCGUGUAGCAGUGAAAUGCGUAGAUAUGCGGAGGAACACCGAUGGCGGAGGCAAUCCCCUGGACCUGUACUGACGCUCAUGCACGAAAGCGUGGGGAGCAAACAGG